rnacentral:rRNA from 1 species
GACGAACGCUGGCGGCGUGCUUAAAACAUGCAAGUCGAACGAAGUGGCGAACGGGUGAGUAAAGCGUAAUCAACCUGCACUUCAGAGGGGGACAACAGAUGGAAACGACUGCUAAUAACUCAUACUGAAGGAGGGGAUUGCGUCUGAGUAGGUCGUUGGAGUGGUAACGGCCCACCAAGGCGAUGAUCCGUAGCCGGUCUGAGCGGAACAAUCGCCACAUUGGCACGGAGACACGGCCCAGCUGCCUACGAGAUUCGGCGCUGAGGAAGCUUCCGAAAUGGUAGAAAUUAUGACGGAGCAACGCCGCGUGAGUGACGUCGGCCUCCGGGUUGUAAAGCUCAGGUAAUCGGGACACGGUACCUGAAUAGAAAUCCGCGGCUUACUUCGUGCCAGCCGCCGCGGUAAUAC